AGUCAAGUAAUUAAGUGCAUGUGGUGGAUGCCUUGGCAGUCAGAGGCGAUGAAAGACGUGAUAGCCUGCGAAAAGCUCCGGGGAGGCGGCAAAUAUCCUUUGAUCCGGAGAUGUCUGAAUGGGGGAACCCACCUACUUUAAGGUAGGUAUUGCAACAUGAAUACAUAGUGUUGCAAGGCGAACGAGGGGAAGUGAAACAUCUCAGUACCCUUAGGAAAAGAAAUCAAUUGAGAUUCCCUCAGUAGCGGCGAGCGAACGGGGAUCAGCCCAUUAAGUUAUGUGUGUUUUAGUGGAACGCUCUGGGAAGUGCGAACGUAGAGGGUGAUAUUCCCGUACACGAAAGGGCACACAUAAUGAUGACGAGUAGGGCGAGGCACGUGAAACCUUGUCUGAAUAUGGGGGGACCAUCCUCCAAGGCUAAAUACUCCUGACUGACCGAUAGUGAACCAGUACCGUGAGGGAAAGGCGAAAAGAACCCCUGUGAGGGGAGUGAAAUAGAUCCUGAAACCGCAUGCAUACAAGCAGUGGGAGCACCUUCGUGGUGUGACUGCGUACCUUUUGUAUAAUGGGUCAGCGACUUAUAUUCAGUAGCRAGGUUAACCGUAUAGGGGAGCCGUAGAGAAAUCGAGUCUUAAUAGGGCGUUUAGUUGCUGGGUAUAGACCCGAAACCAGGCGAUCUAUCCAUGAGCAGGUUGAAGGUUGGGUAACACUAACUGGAGGACCGAACCCACUGUCGUUGAAAAGCCAGGGGAUGACUUGUGGAUAGGGGUGAAAGGCUAAUCAAGCCUGGUGAUAGCUGGUUCUCCCCGAAAGCUAUUUAGGUAGCGCCUCGGACGAAUACCAUAGGGGGUAGAGCACUGUUUCGGCUAGGGGGUCAUCCCGACUUACCAAACCGAUGCAAACUCCGAAUACCUAUGAGUACUAUCCGGGAGACAGACUGCGGGUGCUAACGUCCGUAGUCAAGAGGAAAACAAUCCAGACCGCCAGCUAAGGCCCCAAAAUCAUAGUUAAGUGGGAAACGAUGUGGGAAGGCAUAGACAGCUAGGAGGUUGGCUUAGAAGCAGCCACCCUUUAAAGAAAGCGUAAUAGCUCACUAGUCGAGUCGGCCUGCGCGGAAGAUGUAACGGGGCUAAAACUAUGUGCCGAAGCUGCGGAUUUAGCCGGGCGACGGUUGUCCCGGUUUAAGCAUGUAGGCGGAGGUUCCAGGUAAAUCCGGWACCUUUUUAACGCUGAGGUGUGAUGACGAGGCACUACGGUGCUGAAGUAACAAAUGCCCUGCUUCCAGGAAAAGCCUCUAAGCAUCAGGUAACWUCAAAUCGUACCCCAAACCGACACAGGUGGUCAGGUAGAGAAUACCAAGGCGCUUGAGAGGACUCGGGUGAAGGAACUAGGCAAAAUGGUGCCGUAACUUCGGGAGAAGGCACGCUGAUAUGUAGGUGAAGCCCCUGCGGGUGGAGCUGAAAUCAGUCGAAGAUACCAGCUGGCUGCAACUGUUUAUUAAAAACACAGCACUGUGCAAACACGAAAGUGGACGUAUACGGUGUGACGCCUGCCCGGUGCCGGAAGGUUAAUUGAUGGGGUUAGCGGCAACGCGAAGCUCUUGAUCGAAGCCCCGGUAAACGGCGGCCGUAACUAUAACGGUCCUAAGGUAGCGAAAUUCCUUGUCGGGUAAGUUCCGACCUGCACGAAUGGCGUAAUGAUGGCCAGGCUGUCUCCACCCGAGACUCAGUGAAAUUGAACUCGCUGUGAAGAUGCAGUGUACCCGCGGCAAGACGGAAAGACCCCGUGAACCUUUACUAUAGCUUGACACUGAACACUGGUCCUUGAUGUGUAGGAUAGGUGGGAGGCUUUGAAGUGUGGACGCCAGUCUGCAUGGAGCCGUCCUUGAAAUACCACCCUUUAAUGGCUGGUGUUCUAACGUAGACCCGUAAUCCGGGUUGCGGACAGUGUCUGGUGGGUAGUUUGACUGGGGCGGUCUCCUCCCAAAGAGUAACGGAGGAGCACGAAGGUUAGCUAAUCCUGGUCGGACAUCAGGAGGUUAGUGCAAUGGCAUAAGCUAGCUUGACUGCGAGAGUGACGGCUCGAGCAGGUGCGAAAGCAGGUCAUAGUGAUCCGGUGGUUCUGAAUGGAAGGGCCAUCGCUCAACGGAUAAAAGGUACUCCGGGGAUAACAGGCUGAUACCGCCCAAGAGUUCAUAUCGACGGCGGUGUUUGGCACCUCGAUGUCGGCUCAUCACAUCCUGGGGCUGAAGUAGGUCCCAAGGGUAUGGCUGUUCGCCAUUUAAAGUGGUACGCGAGCUGGGUUYAGAACGUCGUGAGACAGUUCGGUCCCUAUCUGCCGUGGGCGCUGGAGAAUUGAGGGGGGCUGCUCCUAGUACGAGAGGACCGGAGUGGACGCAUCACUGGUGUUCGGGUUGUCAUGCCAAUGGCACUGCCCGGUAGCUAAAUGCGGAAGAGAUAAGUGCUGAAAGCAUCUAAGCACGAAACUUGCCCCGAGAUGAGUUCUCCCUGAGMCUUUAAGUCUCCUGAAGGAACGUUGAAGACGACGACGUUGAUAGGUCGGGUGUGUAAGCGCAGCGAUGCGUUGAGCUAACCGAUACUAAUGAACCGUGAGGCUUAACCUU
rnacentral:rRNA from 1 species